rnacentral:rRNA from 1 species
CACGUAGGGUGCGAGCGUUGUCCGGAAUUAUUGGGCGUAAAGGGCUCGUAGGCGGUCUGUCACGUCGGGAGUGAAAACUCGGGGCUUAACCCCGAGCCUGCUUCCGAUACGGGCAGACUAGAGGUAUGCAGGGGAGAAUGGAAUUCCUGGUGUAGCGGUGAAAUGCGCAGAUAUCAGGAGGAACACCGGUGGCGAAGGCGGUUCUCUGGGCAUUACCUGACGCUGAGGAGCGAAAGUGUGGGGAGCGAACAGG